UUCAGAUCCCACGGCUCAGUCCUAGGAGCCCGCGGGGGCGACGGGAGAGGCACAGCGUGGGGGUCUCUGGCACCCUCCCUCCUCCGAUGGAAUUAGCCGAGAGUGCGGGAGGGGACAGAGUGAUGGAGACAAUUGUUUCAAGAAUCUCCUACUUGUAGACUGCGUCAGCUUUGAAGGCUUUUCUCCAUUCACGACGUGCUUAACUGUGUGGCCUUGGGGAAAUGGAUUGAUCCAGGUGUCAGGUUUCCCACCUGUGAAUCAGAGUCCACAGCAUCACAGGGCUGUAGUGAGGAUCAGAGCAUAAGAUUUGGAGUCAGAACCUGGAUGUGUGUGGUCUUCCACUGACAACUUCUGAGCUUCAAUGUCAUCAUCUGAAAAGGGAGGAUGUUAGUGUUGUCCUCUUAGUGUUACUGUACCAGAGGAGAUCCUGUAUGGGAAAAGCGCAUUGCUCAAUGUAAAUAAAUGUUGGCUGAUGUAUUUAGGACAGUGCUUUGGUUUCUAAUUCUUUUUGCAGCAUUUCUAUUUAUGUGGUGCUUUCCCCUGUAAUAUCCGGUUCAGUGUG